CCAUGGAGUAGUGUAUUUCUUAUUACUGAAGAUAUAAAUGAAAAUAAAAUAUAAAUUUAAGAGGGAUUGAAAGCAAAGGCAAAAGGAAAAACUCAAAUCACUCUCUCUUUUUAAUCAAUAAUAAUUAAUUAAAAUCACCAUUUUACAUGCAUAAUAAAUUCAAAAAUGAACAAUCAAACCAAGUUAUUAGUUACAUUAAAUCAAACCAGACAAAUCCCACAUCAAAUCAAUAAGUAAAAACAUGGGCAGAUCAAAAGAGGAGGGCGAAAACGAUGGCUGCUACGGAGGCAAAGAAGGUGGGAAUGAAGGUGGCGGCGGCGUCGGAGGUGGGGCCUGGAGCCGGAGGAUCGGCAGCGGAGACACCGUUCACGGAGGAGAGUGCUAUGAACAUGAGGACCGUCAAGGCAGUUGCCAGCAUCUUCAUCUUCAUGGCCUCCAUUGCUUCUUCAAAAGAAAGAUAAUUAAGAGAUAUAUAGUGGACGUAUGUAUGUAUGUACUUAUGUAUAUAGAGAAAGAGAGAGGCUCUGCAAUUUCUAUUUGAAGAAAAAUGUUAUGUUAAUUUGUAGAUAGAAGGUGGAGUUUAUAUACAAACGGAGGUGAAGAAGAGAGAGAAAUUCGGGGCAGUUUAACGUUAAAAAAAGCUUCAUUGUUGUUUUUCUUUUUCUUUUUUGUCUGCUUAAUUAUUUAGACACCUUCUUUUUACCCUUCUCUCCUUUUGUUUGAACAAAAGUUUCAACUUUAUUUGCUUUUUUUGAUAGAAAUUCAGGAACUUGGAGACAUCUCUUUAUACUUUCAUCAAUACAUAAGCAAAGUGUCGCAUGGUAACUUGAAGAGUCAAUUUCACAAUUAGCUACUAACUAAAUCAACAAAUUGCCAAACGUAAAAAAAGCGUAUAAGUUAUGAGUAUAAACUCA
rnacentral:lncRNA from 1 species